GAUGAAGAACGAAGCGAAAUGCGAUAAGUAAUGCGAAUUGCAGAAUUCAGUGAGUCAUCGAAUCUUUGAACGCACAUUGCGCCCUGUGGUAUUCCGCAGGGCAUGCCUGUUCGAGCGUCAUUUCAACCCUCAAGCCCCGCUUGGUGUUGGGCCCCGCCCGCCGUGGCCGGCCCUAAAGACAGUGGCGGCGCCGCCUGGCCCUCAGCGUAGUACAGCUCUCGCUCCAGGGUCCGGCGGCCGCCUGCCAGAACCCCCCCAACUCUGUGGUUGACCUCGGAUCAGGCAGGGAUACCCGCUGAACUUAAGCAUAUCAAUAAGCGGAGGA
rnacentral:misc_RNA from 1 species